rfam:Nematostella vectensis strain CH2 x CH6 NEMVEscaffold_7261_Cont52815, whole genome shotgun sequence.
GCCGAAAUAGCUCAGUUGGGAGAGCGUCAGACUGAAGAUCUGAAGGUCCUUGGUUCAAUCCGGAGAGUUUGUA